rnacentral:rRNA from 1 species
UACGGAGGGUGCAAGCGUUGUCCGGAAUCACUGGGCGUAAAGGGCGCGUAGGCGGCUUGGCAAGUGGAUGGUGAAAUCCCUCGGCUUAACCGAGGAACUGCCGUCCAAACUGCUUCGCUUGAGACCGGGAGAGGUGAGUGGAAUUCCCAGUGUAGCGGUGAAAUGCGUAGAUAUUGGGAGGAACACCAGUGGCGAAGGCGGCUCACUGGACCGGUACUGACGCUGAUGCGCGAAAGCGUGGGGAGCAAACGGG